rnacentral:rRNA from 1 species
AGAGUUUGAUCCUGGCUCAGGACGAACGCUGGCGGCGUGGAUUAGGCAUGCAAGUCGAACGGUAUAAACCUUUCGGGGUUUAGAGAGUGGCGAACGGGUGAGUAACACGUAGGUAAUCUACCCUCAAAACGGGGACAACCCAGGGAAACUUGGGCUUAUACCGGAUGCGUGCAAGCAAUGUUUUGGCUGUUAAUGCUAUUCACGGAAGUGAGUAGUGUUAAUGGUUGAGAGCAUUAUUUGCAUAAAAGGUGGCAUAUGCUGCCGUUUGAGGAUGAGCCUGCGUCCUAUUAGUUAGUUGGUGAGGUAAUGGCUUACCAAGGCGAUGAUAGGUAGGCGGCCUUAACGGGUGGUCGCCCACACUGGGAUUGAGAGACGGCCCAGACUCCUACGGGAGGCAGCAGUCGAGAAUAGUCUACAAUGGACGGAAGUCUGAUAGUGCGACGCCGCGUGAACGAAGAAUCCCUUCGGGGUGUAAAGUUCUUUUAUACGUGAGCAGUGCCCUUUAUAUGAAUAGUAUAGAGGGAGGGAUUUAAGCGUAUGAAUAAGCAACGGCUAACUCCGUGCCAGCAGCCGCGGUAACACGGGGGUUGCAAGCGUUGUCCGGAAUUACUAGGCGUAAAGUGCAGGUAGGCGGAUAGAUAAGUUUAAGGUUAAAGGCUACAGCUUACCCGUAGUAAGGCGUUAGAUACUGUUUAUCUGGAAUGCGGUUGAGGGAGACAGAAUUCCUGGUGUAGCGGUGGAAUGCGCAGAGAUCAGGAGGAAUACCGAAGGCGAAGGCAGUCUUCUAAGCCGAUAUUGACGCUAAACUGCGAAGGUGUGGGGAUCAACAGGAUUAGAUACCUGGUAGUCCACACAGUAAACGAAUAAUCACUAGGUGUUGGGUCGUAAUAGGACUCGUGCCGGAGCUAACGCGAUAAGUGAUUCGCCUGGGGAGUACGAUCGCAGGUGAAACUCAAUGAUUGACGA